GAAACAGGGAAAUGGGGAUAGCAUUUGAAAUGUAAAUAAAGAAAAUAUCCAAUAAAAGAAAAAAUAAGACCAGGAAAAAAUAUAAAUGGAAAAAAAAAGGUUCCCCUUAAAUCAUUACCAUUUAUCCUAAGAAAAGCCUUAGUUUUGCCUUACAUUAUGAUAAGCUAAUUUGAAAUUUUUCACCUCUAUCUAACUAGAAUCCAACUUUAAAAUCUCUUUUUGCUUGAUCUCCUCUACAUCCCUCUUAAUUAUGUUUGGGAAUUUAUCCUUCCUGCUUCAGCAGUUGUGAUGGUUUGUAUAUGCUCAGCCCAGGGAGUAGAACUAUUAGAUGUGGCCCUGUUGGAGUAGGUGUAUCACUGUGGGUGUGGGCUGUAAGACUCUCAGCUGUCUAGAAAUGAGUUUUCUGCUAGCCACCUUCAAAUGAAGAUGUAGACCUCUCAGCUCCUCCUGCACCAUGCCUGCCUGGAUGCUGCCAUGUUCUCGCCUUGAUGAUAAUGGACUGAACCUCUGAACCUGUAAGCCAGACCCAGUUAAAUGUCCUUUAUAAGAGUUGCCUUGGUCAUGGUGUCUGUUCACAGCAGUGAAACCCUGACUAAGACAGAAGUAUUAAAUUUGAAUUCAUUUCAAUACAUUAUUUGUUAUGGGCAAAAAAGAAAAAGAGUAAAAGAAAAGAAAAAGAAAUAACCUCUCCCAAUGUCCACCAGAGCAGCAUAUUAUCUUGCCCUACUUUCCUCGCAGCGAUGUUAUGAAGCAUGAUUACCAUAGCAAUUACAUCACUUGCCUCUAAAUGGGUGCUCUGUACCUGCUCUGUUUCAGGUUCUACUCUUCAUUGUGUAGCCAUUUAGUUGGGCAUAGUGGUGCAUUCCUAUAAGCUCAGUAUCUUAAGGGUGAGCUUGGAGGAUGAGUAAAAGUUGGAGGAUAGCAUGGGUUAACAGUGAGUUCCGCCUCAGCCUUCAGUACCCAGUAAACCUUUUCUCAAAAACAAAGCACAACUGACAUAAAUAAAUAAAUAAAUAAAUAAAUAAAUAAAUAAAUAAAUAAAUAAAUAUCAAGUUUUAAGAACUUAUACAAUAAGCUAUAUUAUGCCACAUUAAGGGGGGGGGCCUACAUAGGAUCAAAGUAUUUCAUCCGCAGUUCGUCAGUAAACAUGCUACAGAAUUUAGCUCCUAAGGCCAGACACUGGCUGGAAACAAGUAUUGGAAACAAGGAUGGAGAAAAUUAAAACCAAGAGCCAGCAUCUCUGUAAGGAGCUGAAUGACUAUUACUUAGCCUUACUAUAGCAAACCUCAUCAAGAUGCACGCCAACACAAAGGGCUUUCUGCAGUAUUGCUUUCUAAUCUCUGCUACAUAGAAGACAUAUUAAGUAGCUGUUUUCCCAGCAGUGUCCCCUAAGAUAAAAUGGAAAAAGUAAGCCAUUCCAAUAUAGCAGCCCAGGCUUCCUGAAGUGACUUUGUGGGAACUAAAAGGCAAAGCCAAGAAUGUAACAGACCAUCAUGAUACCUGAUGCUCAGAGUGUUCAACCGUACAGAAAGAAGUGUUACUGAUUGAUGCUCCUGGGGUCUGACCUGCAGCCCUGAGGAUCAGCUUUCAGAAUGUGGUUAUGUUUUCUGAGGCAAACUCUAGGUAAGAGAAAGGUGUCAAUAUUGUGAUCAUAAAUGGUAACUGCCUUUUUUUUAGUGAAGUUGACAUUAGGGAAAAUAACAGAAGAGAGGUUGCAGAAGUAACCAGAACAAUACUGGCUAUGACAAUCUGUCACCUCUACCUAGUGGAGAGAUCUGGGCUUAUCAUUGACUUGAAGGAUGUGUGUUUAAAAAAUCUACUUUGUAUUACUCCAAAAUAGCGUCGUGCAUAGAAAAACUAUAAACCCGAUGAAAGUAUAAGAAAAAGAUCACUUCCUUUCCCAAGGCAACUAUUAUUAUUUUGGCACUUGCAUUCUCUAUUUCCAUGCAUCUUUUCUGUAGUUGAUAUAUUAUCCUAUGUGAAAUAUUAUACUACAUUUGUUAGUUAUAAUAAAUGUUUUCCAGUUGACUGUACUUUAAUAAUGUCUGGAUUACUCACCACAAUUUGUUUUCUUUUUGAACAUCUAAAAUGAAAUAUGUUUUACCAUGUAGAAUAGAGUGAUGAAAUAAAUUAUGAAUCCUUACUUGGCCCAAACUACAAGGCUUCUGAAGGGAAGUAGAGAGGAGAUUCUGUACACAACUGUAAUAAAUAUGAAGUCCUACCUAAUCCUUAUGACAUGGAAGUCAGGGGGUGGUGACAAUACCUAGAAAUUAAUUGUUCAGCAGAUUUUCCAGGAACUACCAUUCUUCAUUCUAUUUCUUGGUAUUUUUGAUUUUUCAUAUUCAAAUGCAGAAAACCCCACAAGAACAAUUUCUUCUAAUUGUCUUACCAUGUCCUACAAUUUGUAAAGACAGUUCAAACUUUACAUUACUAUUCCUCUGUUUCAUUUGUUACUACAAAGACUAAUUCCCUAUUCAUGUGCUAUGGAGCUUUGAAUGAAAUUCUGUAUAUAUUUAUGAUAUCAUCAACUUAGUUUAAUUACUUUCACACUUAUACCUUUAUAAAUCCUUUUAAUGUAGAAAUAAUGUCCUUUUCCUUAGACACUAUCAAAUGAAUGUCCAGUAGAAUAAAAGCUUCACAAGUAUUUUUCAAAAGUUUCUAUUGGGUAAAUUUAAAGGAAACCGACGAUUUUCAAAAGCAGAAUCAAAUGAUAUACUGCAUAAUUUUUAUUAUCAGAGAUAAGUAUAUGUGAACUACAGUGUUAGUUUUUCUUCCUUUUUUCUUCCCUCUUGCCUUUCAUCCCUCUCCUAGAUAUGUAUGUAUACAUAUUUACACAUAUAUUUGUACAAGUUUUAUUUAUUGAAAUGAAGUCUAUAUACAUAGCUUAGGCUAGCACUGAACAUCUUGAGUUACAGGUCAGCACCAUAUUGCUUGAUAUAAAGUUGUCUCUAAAAUAUGUACACGUGUGUACUCUGUAAAAUAUAUACAUGUAUGUACUUUUGUAGCAUCUUUAACUAGUAUUUAAAAAGUCAUUGUUUCCCUGAGUGUGCAUGCACUGUCUCAUUUUUGCAUGACUUGGUCCUGAAAACCUAACUGGGCUGACCUGGGAAUGAACAACUGAAGACUUGAAGAAGCAACUAAUACACAUACAUUAAACCUGGGAUCCUGUGGGCAGCACUUACUCUGAUGGAGGGCACCUACUAUGCUACCUGGAAACAGAGUAUUUAUGUACAUCAUGAGGAGUAGGGAUUAUUGUGUAUGGGUGAGAGGCCUCUCUAUGGGGAGCAAUCUCAGGCUGUAAAUGGCAGAAGACAAAGCUACAGUCCAUAGUUUUUGUACACUGGUUUUAGCUGAAGUUCGAUUGUUCAACACUUUUACUUGGACCAGAGGGAGACUUUGCUAAACCUCUGAGCCUCACCCAAAGAAGCCAUUAGUAUUUCCAUGGGUCUGAAGCACUGGGGUCCUUGACAUGCCUAUACUCGUUGAUAACUCAUUCAUUCAGAACUUCAUUGUCUUCUUUCACAUUUGCUAAGGGCUUCCUUUGCUCCCCAUACUCUAUCUUUCUCUUUAGAUGCAGGAUAUAUAAUUGUUUGGAGACUCACCAUAUAGACUAGCUGUCCAGUGAGUUUCAGGGAUCCAUUGAUUCUGCCACAAGAAUUUUGAUGACUGAUUUAUCUUCCCAAACCUUAUUUCUUGAAAUAUGAAAUAUGAUUAUGAUGAUGACGACGACGAUGACAAUGAUGGUGGUGAUGGUGGUGGUGAUGAUGGUGAUGAUGGUGACGAAUACGAUGACGAUGACGAUGACGAUGAUGAUUUGUUUCCAGAGAAGAAGUGACUAACAAAUUUGUGAAGUUAUAGGUGACUUGGCAUUGAGAUGGCUAAGACUGUAGAAGAAGAUGUGAUAGAACUUGCAGUAUUUUCUUUAUUCUGCAACUCCACUGGAGUUUAAGAAGAUUGAUCUGUAAACCAAGAGUACCAAAAAUUGAGCUGACUUCCGUCUGAGUUAGAAUUUCUAUUGCCAGGAUGAGACACCAUAAGCAAAAAGUAAGUGAAGGAGGAAAGUUUAUUUGGCUUACACUUUCAGAUCAUAGUCCACCAUUAAAAGAAGCCAGGGCAGGAAUUCAAACAAUGCCCUUGCUCUACCUGCUUUCUUACAGAACCCAGGACCACCAGCCCAGAGACAGCACCAGCCACAAUGGACUGGGCCCUUCUCCAUUGAUUACAUUGAUGACCUACAGCAGGCACUUGUGGAGGCAGCUUUCAGUUGAGAUUCCUUCUGUACCAAUGAUUCUGGCUUGUGUUAAGUAAACAUAAAACUACCUAGAACACAUUUCUUCAACUAUCAAAAACCGUAUCAAUAAAUUCCAUUUCUAUGUUCACCAGACAGCACAAAAGAUUUGUAGUCCAUUGAUUAAACCAUAUUUCCCCCACCCAUAAGGAUUAUAGAUGGCUGGAAAGCUAUUUGAAAAUGAUUUUAAUUUUUUUGAGAGGGAAUUACUUGCUCUAAGACAGUAUUUUCUUUAUUUUUUCUGACUUCAUUUUAUUUUUCUACUUAUUUUAAUUUGCUUUAGACAAAGACAGUUUAUGUAUACUACUAUAUAAUACAAACACAUAUUUUAUAAACAGCAUUAUAAUCCUGGGAAAUUAAAAUGAAAAAACAUAAUAUGUUUCACAUACUGUACAAGAAUAAAUUUCUUCACAGAUAUCAGUUCGAUUUAAAUUUCACCAAAUAAAUAUGAUUUACCUUUACUUUGUAUUGAUCCUGAUUGAAGGUAGUUCAGCUUUUAUGGGAAUGUAGUUAUCUCCCCACAAUCAGCACUCAGAGAACCACGGAAGCAAUUGAAUCAGAGCAACUACUUGUAAAUGGCAAAACAAAUUGAUAAUCUUAGACUUAAAAAUACCACUUUAACACAGAGAAAGUAAAGCCCUAUCUUUCCCUUCUAAUGACAGUGUUUUCUUUUUAGCCAAACAAUAUGAGGCUGAUUGUGUUAUUACAGCAAAGCUAUUCAAAAGCUUGGAAAGUGUCUGUUGGAAAUGUCUUUCAUUGGCUCUGAGACAACAUAAAUAUUUCUGAAUAGCCUAGUACAGACACAAUUCUUUUAGGAUAUUCACUAUCCUUAGGUAGUCUCCUCUGGAGGAGUUAUGCAGAGUCUCAGCCUCGCCAAACUAAUAUUUUUUCAGUACUCAUGGAGGCACAGCUUUCUUAAGGAGAACUGAGUGCCCUGGAGCAAACAAUGAAUUUAGGAGCUAUUCAGAAGGGCUCUAGGAAAGCAGUGUGUUGAUUGCAGAUCAGAGAGCCCUGAGAACUCACCCUUGCUUGGUAAAAGCUCUUGAGGUUAGAGAUCUGGUUGGCAAGAAGUGUCAGCUAGCAAAGAGCUUAUUACCUGUGUUGAUACAACUACAGCUAUUGUUUUUUAUUGGAAGUUUUAUUUAUUUACAUUUCAAAUAUUAUCCCUUUCCCAGUCGCCCCUCUGGAAACCCCCUACAAUUUCUCCCUCCCCCUGCUUCUAUAAGGGUACUUCUCCACCCACCUCCCCACCCUCUCCUUCCUCCCUGACCCCUACACUGGGGCAUCAAGCCUUCCCAGGACCAAGGGUCUCUUUUCCCUUUGAUGUGCGUUAGCAGAGUGGAGUAGCAGAAGCCUGCUGGGCCCAUAACCCUGAGGCCAACAGAUCAGAAACAUUCUCUGCUAACUACAGCCAUUUCUAUUCUGUGUAAGCCAAAGGUACAAACACAUCAAUUUGAUAAAAGGUAAUCAGGAGAACAAAACGUUUCCACUAUAUCUUUAGCUAGUAAUAUUUCUUGGCUGUAUUAUGGGAUAUUAUGGUUACUAGAUAUUUUAAUCUUCAAUCAUAACUAACAAUUUCCAGUAGUGUCUCAUUUUUGCUACACUUGCUAUUCAAUAACCCCCUUCAACAUUAUCAGCACUAGAAAUAAAAACAUGUCACUACUCCUAGUUUUACUAAGAGUACAAAAAGAAGGGAAGAUGGAUUUUAGGAGCCAGAGAUGUGAGGACACCAGGAGAACGUGGUCCUCAGAAUCAACUAAGCAGGGCUCUUACGGCAGAGACUGAAGUGGCAAUGAUGGAGAUAGUGUGGUUCUGAACAAGAUCCUCUUUGCACAUAUGCGUAUAUGUUUAGUUUGUGUGUGUGUGUGUGUGUGUGUGUGUGUGUGUGUGUGUGUGUGUAAGUCUUAAAAAUGAGAGUAAAUAGGGAUGUCUCUCUGAUUCUUUUGCCUGCUCAUGGAACCCCUUUCCUCCUACUGGGUUGCCUUGUGCAACCUUAAUAUGAGGGUUUGUGCCUAGUUUUAUUGCAUCUUUGUUAUGCCAUAUUUGGGAGUCCUGCUUGUUUCUGAAGGGAAAUGAAGGAGUAAUAGAUUGGAGGAAGAGGCCAUGGAAGGGGAUAGGAGGAAGGGAGGGAUGGGAGGCUUUAGUUGGGAUGUAGUAUAUUAGAGAAGAAUAAAGAAAAAGAAAAUUUUGAAGAGUACAAAAUCACGUUGAACACACACAAGUAUUUUUGUUUUAAAAGUAACAAAAGUAAUUAUUAUAUACUUUUCUCCUAACUUAAGAAAACACACUGCAAAGAUGCUUGCAAACUUCAAAGUACUGAAAACAAUCCAGAACUUGCUAAUAAAAGUGAACAUUAGUGUUGGCACUAGAGACAGAGUGAAAGAGUUGUGGAUUCUAGAAUCUUCCUGUGGCCAACACACCUUGUAAAUUUGUUUGCAAGAAACAUCUUUCCUAUAGGCUAAGUUAUGUCACUGAUUUAUAGUCCCAGCUCAGUGGAGAAGCUGUGCAAUGUUGUCAAACUGCAACUGUUCAGGGAGUAAUAAUACACGGUCUGUAUAUGUCCUCACAGAUUCACUUUUUCCCAAAGCCUGUGAAUCCAUCUUUAGUUGGAUGACUGAAUGUGGUCUUCUAGGAAAUGGAGGACAGAAUGUUCCAGAACCACCACCAUGAUCUUUCUUCUGUAACAGAAACCGUACCAUGAAUCAAGCUUCCAUUUCCACAAAAGACAUUUCUAUUCUCUGGCCUGAUUUACUGCUCAUUUAGUCAAGAGAGGAUGAAUAAAAUGCUGUCUAAUCCACUGUGGACUGCGAUGGAUUUUGAGGUAGAGCAAGCAUGUGAAGCCUUCAGUUCCCUACCGUGAAUUUAUUUAGGAUUUGUAGUUAAAUGUGAAGAGGAGACACCAGAAUGAGUUUUCUCCCCUUAUGUUAUGAUUCCCUUGAGAAUUAGCUAUUCCCAGUAUCCUACUGGCUGUUAGUAUGGCAGGAUGUCAUUUUGAAUUCAAUAGUAUGGUUCUUUUUUCCUUAUUUUUUGACAGUCAAUUUUCCUCUUAAAUUUACUCAUUUCAUGUAAUUUUUCUAAAUUGAAUCAGUAUUCUAUUUCUAGACUUAACCUGACUUGAUCAUCAACAAUUAUCUUUGUGUACUCUGCUAAAUAAAAUUGCUAACAAGUUAACUAGGAUUUCUCAUAUUUGUUUAUACAUAUUAUAACCUAGAAUUUUGUGUUUUGCUGUUUUCCUUCACUGAAAUGUAUCAAGGUCAUAUUAGUUUCAUAAAAUGAGUUAGAGAGUGGCAGCUCGUAUGGUAUUUUCUGGAAGCGUUUCUAUAAGGUUUCAAUGAAUCAUUCCCCAACAGUUUAAUAGAAAUUCAACGGAAACUCAUUUGAAUGUGUCAUUUCCGAUGCUGAAAAUGUUAAAAUUAUGGAUGGCAUCUCAUUGGUUCAAAUUGAACCCAAAGUUUAUGCUGCUAGUGACAAGUUGAUUUGGAUAAAUUUUUCAGGAAGGUGUGUACUUUUACAAUUAUUUCACUUCAUUUUUGAAGAUUCAUUCAUAAAACCCUAUUUUCCUAUUUUUACAACAAGUGUAUCCAGAUUUUAAUUCAUGACACUGUUCCAAUUUCUUUCUUUUGCU